AUUGUGUAUACAUGUUAAAAUAAACGUUAUAGACGUAUUAGUUGGAUUAAUGCUUGAUUUAUGUUUUUAAAGGUUGUUUUUUGAUAGGCCUGUUUCACAAAAUGGCGACCGGAAGUAGAGUAGGUCAAGCCGCCGCCCGCUGAUUGGAUCGCCGCCAUUCAUUCUCAUUCCUUCUCGCAACGUCAUCAGCUGACAAACAGUCUCUCGCUUGUUAUCACUGCUUACAGGUAAGUUUAGUCAACAAAAUCACACAAAUAAUAGAUUCAAACGUUCCCGACACCCUUCUUACGUGUAAUUAAUACGCUUCUGCUGAAUAUUUACUUUAUAGAAAUGGUUUUGUGUCUUCGAAAAAGUCUGUUAGCAUGAUCCGUUUUCAGAAGAGAUUCUAGAAGAUCAUCAUGCUUGCUGAUGGCCUGCUGCACUCCCUGAACAAGACAAUCUCCACGGCUAUGAACUCGACUAGUGUGUUUUUAAUUAUGUUGGCCAAUGAGACAGGCACCAUACUGUCCAACGCAAAGAUAGGAUAUAGGCAUUUGACCCUGUGAUUCUUCAGGACAAGAUCUUGAUGCCAUCCAUACUCGGUACAUGACGAAGCUCCCGCGUCCAUUUGGGCUGAAGGUCGAGACAGAACCAAACCAAAGCUGGACUGUAACCUACUGGCCACAGGACAGACUUGUUUACAUUUUGAUGAUCUCCUUCUGUCUACAUGAAGUUCUAUUGCUGAAUUCCCUAUUAUUUGUUGUUGGAAACGAUGCAAGUCCCGUUCAUUGUUCUCGUAAAUGUUAGGAUAUACAUUUAUGCCAUUUCCUGAGUGUUGAGUUGCGUUGACUUGACUGGAGUGGUUUUAACAUGCACUGGAUGGAGAUCUCUCUCCUCUUUUUAGCACCUUAGUCACUGAUUGUGUCCCUCCUAACUGUAAAGCCGUGUUAUUCGUUUCUUUUAGUCUCUUCUGCUGUCGUCGUGCUCUUUCUCUUACGUGCAUCUCUUAGCUCGGUUAAUUUCCUGUGCUCAUUUCUUCACUCACUCAAACCCGUUUGCUGCUGAUGUUUGGAACUUCACUGCAGUUGUUGCUGAAUGAAGGAAAAGAUGGAUUCUGGUGGAGAGGAGGCAUCUGGAGUUUGACCGAAUGGGGUGAGCCGAGUGGGCCCCCCCUUCAUCUUCGGCUCAAUGCCCUCCUGAAGGCACAGUUCCCUGGUAUAUGAGCAGAACGAACAUACUUGAAGAGCUAGAAAUGCUCAAAGACUCUCAGUGCUUCUGUACUGUUUCUUAUAGUGACGAUGAAAUAGUCCUUUUUUUUUUCUUUUCUUUUUUUUUUAAAUGAAAUUAAUAAACAUGCUGUUUUACAAUUGCAAUGUGGCGUAAUUGAAUAUUUGUGCUUCUAUACAGCUGUAAUGCACCCAGAGUACAGAAAUGUGCUUUCACUUUUC